GAUGAACGCUGGCGGCGUGCUUAACACAUGCAAGUCGAGCGAGAAGUUUUGAAAAGAUUCUUCGGAUGAAAUUUAAAAUGGAAAGCGGCGGACGGGUGAGUAACGCGUAGGCAACCUGCCCCAUACAAAGGGAUAGCAUUUGGAAACGAAUAUUAAUACCUUAUGAAACUUAACUAGUGCAUGCUAGGUAGGUCAAAGAUUUAUCGGCAUGGGAUGGGCCUGCGUCUGAUUAGCUAGUUGGUGAGGUAACGGCUCACCAAGGCGACGAUCAGUAGCCGACCUGAGAGGGUGAACGGCCACAUUGGAACUGAGACACGGUCCAAACUCCUACGGGAGGCAGCAGUGGGGAAUAUUGCACAAUGGGGGAAACCCUGAUGCAGCAACGCCGCGUGAACGAUGAAGGCCUUUGGGUCGUAAAGUUCUGUUCUAGGUGAUGAAAACUGACAGUAACCUAGGAGAAAGCCCCGGCUAACUCCGUG
rnacentral:rRNA from 1 species